rnacentral:rRNA from 1 species
UACGUAGGGUGCAAGCGUUAAUCGGAAUUACUGGGCGUAAAGCGUGCGCAGGCGGUUCUAUAAGACAGAUGUGAAAUCCCCGGGCUCAACCUGGGAACUGCAUUUGUGACUGUAGAGCUGGAGUGCGGCAGAGGGGGAUGGAAUUCCGCGUGUAGCAGUGAAAUGCGUAGAUAUCUGGAGGAACACCGGUGGCGAAGGCGGCAUUCUGGACCGACAUUGACGCUGAGGAGCGAAAGCCAGGGGAGCAAACGGG